CAGCAUUCCAGACUUAGCCAAAUUUUCAGCUUUUUCAGCUUUCGGGGUCCGAUUUCACUCGUUUUCGCUCGUUUGGCCUCCGAUUCGUCUCAAAUCGAACUGAAACUCUCCAAACAUGUUUUCGAGCGUAUUUUCACCAUCUUUACAUCCAUGCUAAUGCCGGAUUUAGCUCACAGCCCAACAUAGCCUUUCGGGUUCCGUUUUCGCGCCUACGCGCACCGAAACGCCCGAAUACUCCUAAACCUCACCGAACUUCACCGCAACCUUUCAAAUGGCUCCCCAAUCAAAUGUAUACCGUAACUUCAUGAUUUUAGAAGUCUGGUACCUUACAGACUGGCUCUCGAAAUAUUACGCCACGAUCGAUUGUAAGAAUAAAUUUGUAACAUAUCUCAUCC
rnacentral:lncRNA from 1 species